CCAAGCUGGAGUGCAAUGGCACAAUCUCGGCUCACUGCAACCUCCACCUCCCGGGUUCAAGUGAUUCUCCUGCCUCAGCCCCCCGAGCAGCUGGGAUUACAAGCGUGUGCCACCACACCGGGCUAAUUUUUGUAUUUUUAGUAGAGACGGGGUUUCACCAUGUUGACCAGGCUGGUCUCGAACUCCUGACCUCAGGUGAUCCGACCGCCUUGGCCUCCCAAAGUACUGGGAUUACAGGCGUGAGCCACUGCGCCUGGCCCUUGUAAAUUCUUUACUAGCAAUGAGGAAAGAAAAAGCAAAAUCAGUCAACGAACAUUCGAGAUCCUGUCAUGUGUCAGACACUGUGCGGAGAGCUGGAGAUAAAACUGUCAACAAGAUGAAUGCAGCCUCUAAAAUAAAGAGUUUCUAAUCCA